CUUUUUAGUAUUCCCAUAAAGGUAAUAUUACCUAUCGGAAUAGAGAGACAAUCCCGAGCUGGCAAACGUAACCAAAAUUGAUUUACAUCUGUGU